CUUAUCUCGAUUUCAAUUUCUCAGGGUAUUUCGCCUGGCCCUUGAUCGGCUGGGAAUCCCGAGCAAGGAGUUUGGGGGUCAUUCCUUCCGCAUUGGGGCCGCAACCGAAGCCUCUCGGUUGGGUUUCUCUGAUCAGGCUAUUCAGAGGAUUGGCAGAUGGGAAUCUGGGAGGUUUCGUUCCUACGUACGGCCCACGCGGCUAAUCGGUUCCCCUCUUGUGUUUUCUCCACAGGGCCCGGCCGUAGGAUCUGGCUGAUUGGGCAUUCGUACAUCUAUUGGGCCCAUCUGCGGGCUGGGGUACGCCCGGGUGGGACACGCCUUGGAAUUCCUCGGGAGCUG